rnacentral:rRNA from 1 species
AUGAACGCUAGCGACAGGCUUAACACAUGCAAGUCGAGGGGCAGCACAGGUAGCAAUACCGGGUGGCGACCGGCGCACGGGUGAGUAACGCGUAUGCAACUUACCUAUCAGAGGGGGAUAACCCGGCGAAAGUCGGACUAAUACCGCAUAAAGCAGGGAUCCCGCAUGGGAAUAUUUGCUAAAGAUUCAUCGCUGAUAGAUAGGCAUGCGUUCCAUUAGGCAGUUGGCGGGGUAACGGCCCACCAAACCGACGAUGGAUAGGGGUUCUGAGAGGAAGGUCCCCCACAUUGGUACUGAGACACGGACCAAACUCCUACGGGAGGCAGCAGUGAGGAAUAUUGGUCAAUGGGCGUAAGCCUGAACCAGCCAAGUCGCGUGAGGGAUGAAGGUUCUAUGGAUCGUAAACCUCUUUUAUAAGGGAAUAAAGUGCGGGACGUGUCCCGUUUUGUAUGUACCUUAUGAAUAAGGAUCGGCUAACUCCGUGCCAGCAGCCGCGGUAAUACGGAGGAUCCGAGCGUUAUCCGGAUUUAUUGGGUUUAAAGGGUGCGUAGGCGGCCUUUUAAGUCAGCGGUGAAAGUCUGUGGCUCAACCAUAGAAUUGCCGUUGAAACUGGGAGGCUUGAGUAUGUUUGAGGCAGGCGGAAUGCGUGGUGUAGCGGUGAAAUGCUUAGAUAUCACGCAGAACCCCGAUUGCGAAGGCAGCCUGCCAAGCCAUGACUGACGCUGAUGCACGAAAGCGUGGGGAUCAAACAGGAUUAGAUACCCUGGUAGUCCACGCAGUAAACGAUGAUCACUAGCUGUUUGCGAUACACAGUAAGCGGCACAGCGAAAGCGUUAAGUGAUCCACCUGGGGAGUACGCCGGCAACGGUGAAACUCAAAGGAAUUGACGGGGGCCCGCACAAGCGGAGGAACAUGUGGUUUAAUUCGAUGAUACGCGAGGAACCUUACCCGGGUUUGAACGCAUUCGGACCGAGGUGGAAACACCUUUUCUAGCAAUAGCCGUUUGCGAGGUGCUGCAUGGUUGUCGUCAGCUCGUGCCGUGAGGUGUCGGCUUAAGUGCCAUAACGAGCGCAACCCUUGCCACUAGUUACUAACAGGUGAUGCUGAGGACUCUGGUGGGACUGCCAGCGUAAGCUGCGAGGAAGGCGGGGAUGACGUCAAAUCAGCACGGCCCUUACAUCCGGGGCGACACACGUGUUACAAUGGCGUGGACAAAGGGAAGCCACCUGGCGACAGGGAGCGAAUCCCCAAACCACGUCUCAGUUCGGAUCGGAGUCUGCAACCCGACUCCGUGAAGCUGGAUUCGCUAGUAAUCGCGCAUCAGCCAUGGCGCGGUGAAUACGUUCCCGGGCCUUGUACACACCGCCCGUCAAGCCAUGGGAGCCGGGGGUACCUGAAGUCCGUAACCGCGAGGAUCGGCCUAGGGUAAAACUGGUGACUGGGGCU